GGCUCAGUAGCUUAGUUGUAUAGGCACUUGUCUAGCGUAUAUGGGACGUGAGUUCAAAUUUCACCUAAGCUG
rfam:Aedes albopictus isolate Foshan contig26431, whole genome shotgun sequence.